rnacentral:rRNA from 1 species
UGGAUCCAGACUUUGAUCCUGGCUCAGGACGAACGCUGGCGGCACGCUUAACACAUGCAAGUCGAACGGAGAAUAUCGAAGCUUGCUUUGAUAUUCUUAGUGGCGGACGGGUGAGUAACACGUGAGUAACCUGCCUCUGAGAGUGGGAUAGCUUCUGGAAACGGAUGGUAAUACCGCAUGAAAUCAUAGUAUCGCAUGGUACAAUGGUCAAAGAUUUAUCGCUCAGAGAUGGACUCGCGUCUGAUUAGCUAGUUGGUAAGGUAACGGCUUACCAAGGCGACGAUCAGUAGCCGGACUGAGAGGUUGAUCGGCCACAUUGGGACUGAGACACGGCCCAGACUCCUACGGGAGGCAGCAGUGGGGAAUAUUGCACAAUGGGGGAAACCCUGAUGCAGCGAUGCCGCGUGGAGGAAGAAGGUUUUCGGAUUGUAAACUCCUGUUGAAGAGGACGAUAAUGACGGUACUCUUUUAGAAAGCUCCGGCUAACUACGUGCCAGCAGCCGCGGUAAUACGUAGGGAGCGAGCGUUGUCCGGAAUUACUGGGUGUAAAGGGAGCGUAGGCGGGACGGCAAGUCAGAUGUGAAAACUAUGGGCUCAACCCAUAGACUGCAUUUGAAACUGUUGUUCUUGAGUGAGGUAGAGGUAAGCGGAAUUCCUGGUGUAGCGGUGAAAUGCGUAGAGAUCAGGAGGAACAUCGGUGGCGAAGGCGGCUUACUGGGCCUUUACUGACGCUGAGGCUCGAAAGCGUGGGGAGCAAACAGGAUUAGAUACCCUGGUAGUCCACGCCGUAAACGAUGAUUACUAGGUGUGGGGGGACUGACCCCUUCCGUGCCGCAGUUAACACAAUAAGUAAUCCACCUGGGGAGUACGGCCGCAAGGUUGCAACUCAAAUGAAUUGACGGA